rnacentral:rRNA from 1 species
UACAGAGGUCCCCAAGCGUUUGUUUCGGGAUUCACUGGGGCGUAAAGGGUGCGUAGGCGGUCGGGUAAGUCUGAUGUGAAAUCUCACAGCUUAACUGUGAAACUGCAUUGGAUACUAUCCGGCUUGAGGAAUGGAGGGGGAGACUGGAAUACUUUGGUGUAGCAGUUGAAAAUGCGUUAGAUAUCAAGUGGAAACACCAGUGGCGAAGGCGAGUCUCUGGACAUUUCCCUGACGCUGAGGGCACGAAAGCCAGGGGGAGCAAACGGG